UACGGAGGGUGCAAGCGUUAUCCGGAAUCACUGGGUUUAAAGGGUGCGUAGGCGGUGGCGUAAGUCAGUCGUGAAAUACUUCCGCUUAACGGAUAGAACUGCGAUUGAUACUGCGUCACUUGAAUCAGGAUGAGGCAGGCGGAAUGUGGCAUGUAGCGGUGAAAUGCUUAGAUAUGCCAUAGAACACCGAUUGCGAAGGCAGCUUGCUGGACCUGUAUUGACGCUGAGGCACGAAAGCGUGGGGAGCAAACAGG
rnacentral:rRNA from 1 species